UGGCUCUUCAGGGAGCUGUUGCACGCCUUGUGUUCUUUACAUCUCCCCCGGGAUGUUUUGAGACCCUUUCGAGGUCUAUGUUCUCUCUUUACCCCAAUGUAUGUCAAUAGAAUGUUGUGCCUAUUAUAAUGUAUACAACUUUCCAACGGAUCUCUUGGCUCUGAUAUGAAAAGCAGGAAUGCGAUAAUUAAUGCGAAUUGCAAAUUCAGUGAAUCAUCUUCUUCGCCCUUGUCCUUGGUAUUCCGAGGACAUGGUUAGUGUAUUAAUACAUAUAUCAACCUUCCCUUUUGGUGAAUGGUUUGAUGUGUGGGUUUGCUGGCCUCUAUAAUUACUCCCCUGAAUGGAUUAUCGGAACAACCUGUUAUUGUGGAAAUAUUAUGCCGGUGAAUGUGAGGGGCAGUUCAGCUUUCUAACAGUCCUUGGACAAAUCAUCAUUAAUGUGACCUCAAAUCGGGAAGGACUACCCGCUGAACUUAAUAUGAAUACGGAGGAAAAAUAAAGGAUUCCCUACUGGAGUGAAAAAAGGUCAAUAUAAAAUGUGGCUCUUCUGGGCUGUCCGAGUUCUAAUCUAGAGAAGUGUUAUCCGCGCUGGAGCGUGUACAAGUCUCUGA
rnacentral:rRNA from 1 species